GUCCUUCCUCUCCAUGUCACCAGGGCCCAGCUCAGCAGUGCAACUCAAGCAAGAGCUGGGAAAGACACCCCAGAGAGCAUCACAGGCUCCAGUCACUCAAAGGUCCUAUUGCCAGGUGCUUGCUGUAUUCCGG